rnacentral:lncRNA from 1 species
AUAUUUAGAAGCACAAGAGCAAGGAGUACAUUGAUCUACCCCAUCUAAUACCUUUUGGAGGGUGGUGCCUCCUAGAUUGGCUAGGUGUCACUUGGGAGCCUCCUACUUCAUGUUGUGGAGUUGAACCAAGAUGUUUGUAAGGGCAAGGAGAUCGCCUACUUCGUGAAGAUCUACUGUGAGUAAGGCUAGUCCUCCGUGGACAUAAGCCGUGGUGGGAUAGACAAGGCUACUUCUUUGUGGACCCUCCAUGGAUGGAGCCCUCCGUGGACUCUC